ensembl:lncRNA
UUAAAACAAUUUCAAAACUCCUUUUUUCUCUCCUAUCAUCCCUCUAGGUUUGAUAAUCCAGCAGCUGUAAAUCCAAUUCCCACAAGUGUGCUUUAAAAAAGCUGUCCUGGCUUUGUCUAUCUAUAUAUAUCAUCUUGCAGUGAUCUAUAAGGCAAGAUCAUUCUUAAAAAUGCUUCACAGAAACUGGGACUAGGAAUCUGAAUAUACCUUGUUUAUGUUUAUCUUAAAGGUAAAUAAAAAUACCAAACUGCAAUAAUGUGGGUCAUGUUUUGGAAAAUGAAAAGAAUUUUGAGAGUCUUAAAAUACUUCCUAACAAACAACACAUGUUCAGCCAGAUUUGGAAGACAUGGAAAGUUUGUCACAAAGCAGUUUGUUCCUAGAGAACAAAAAUAUGUGAAUACAGAAAAGAAGAGAACUCUCUGGUUUGAGAGAUUAUAGUGAUGAGAAGCUAUGGGAAGAUUUCCUGUAACACAAAGCAGAAGGAUUUUCUAGUCAAUGCUAAGAUCUUAGACUAAUCUCUUAAACAGAAAAAAGAGCAAUCAUGUGGCUUAAAGGGAAGCAGUUAUUCCUUUAUUAAUCUAAAGUUGUUAGAUUCCAUUACAAGAUAGUCUCAAUCACAUUGUGACCUUUUAAGCUUCUAAGAUUCAUUAGGUCAGAGUGAGAAGGAGUUGGGUCUAUGAGAUUCAAGGAGGUAGAGAGUUAUUCUUUUCUCUUUCUAAUUUUUAUGAAUUCUCUUAUGGAUUCUAUUUUGCAUUCCUCUCAUGGGUUCAAAUAAAGAUCAUUUUACAUUAAUCUGAGUACUUUGUAUAGAAGUCAAGGUUCCUGUUCCCCACAUGAGCUAUAUUCUGCUAUCCACAGAAAAGAGCCAUGGGAGGGGAGACAAUUCUGAUGAUUAUAGGAGAAAUUCUGGGUAAAGAUACAUACCAUUGAGUGAUUUGAUCACUCUAUUUAUGUAAACCCAAAAAUUAGUGUUCUGGGACAUAGGUUACAUUGUUAAAAUAGGUCAUUUUUAACAAUUUUCAGCAUAGUACAUAGCUUAAUUACCUGCUGGGAAAGAAAGUAUAAACAUGGACUACAUUCAUCUCUGACAAUGACAUUGGGAUGGGGAAAGAUCUCUGGUGCUGGGCAAAACAGAGGACAUGUGGGACAUUUUUAUUUUAAAUCAAUUUGUAAAUAGGCUAAUGGAAAUGAGGACUCUGCUCAAGAAAUCUGCAUACCUGUCUCCCCAGUACCUAUGGAAAAAAUAAGUCAUGGAUUUUCUGUGAGCUCAGGGUGGUAUCAGUUGACUAGGUUGGAAAUUCAGAUGAUAUGGAAGAAUAAAGUUUUUCCUUAGGCCAAAAGUUUCAAAUAGACAAGAUCUCUAUUUCUUCUUGUACUCUGGGAACUAGAGGAAGUCAGGUGAAUUAAUCAAAAAAAUAUUGUGACCCCCAAGGGAAAAGUCUUGAGUGGGAGCAAGCAACUUGAAAGAAGUCAAACAGAGAGUUUGAUGCUAUUUGGUAUUAUAACUUGUGUCAAAGCAUUUAAGAAAUGUGAAAGUAUUUCUGUAAAUAACUUGUUUCCUGAGACUUCCUUAUGCUAUAAUAAAAGUAGUUGUUCACUUGAAUAGAAUGUGUAUGUAUCCUGACUGCUGUAGAUACAGGGAAAUGAAAAGAUCAGACUAAAAUCCAGAAGCACAUUCUUUACCUCAUUCAUACCGCAUAUCUAGUCAGGUCCCGUGUUUUACCAAUUUUUAUUUUUCCAACAUCUAUCAUAUUCUUCCUUUUCACUAAUAUUACUAAUAGGAUCUCCUUUCCCUUCCUAGACUCUUACAUUAGCCUUUUAAUUGAUUCCUUUGUUUCUUAUCUUUUUCUACUCCAAUCUGUCCUCCAUAUACUUGCCAAAACGAUUUUUUAAAAUUCCAUUGCUUCAUCAAUUCCAAUGGCUCCCUAGUUCCCCUAGGAUAAAAUAUAACUCUUUCCCCUAUCCUCUGGCAUUUAAAGAGCUUCACCAGCAUUUGCAAAUCUAACUUGCCAAUCUUUAUAUAUAUACGCUACCCUCUUUCAUGACUUCUACAAUCUAAGUCAAUUUGCCCAUCUUGCUGAUCUUCUUCACUCAUGACUCUCUAUUUCUUGUCUUUGACCAGCAGUCCUUCAUCCCCAAAAUGCACUCCU